GGAGUUAGCCGGUGCUUCUUCUGUGAGUGAUGUCCUUCCUGCCGGCUAUUAACCCGCAGGCCUUCUUCCUCACUGAAAGUGCUUUACAACCCGAAGGCCUUCUUCACACACGCGGCAUGGCUGGAUCAGGGUUGCCCCCAUUGUCCAAUAUUCCCCACUGCUGCCUCCCGUAGGAGUCUGGGCCGUGUCUCAGUCCCAGUGUGGCUGAUCAUCCUCUCAGACCAGCUACGGAUCGUCGCCUUGGUGAGCCGUUACCUCACCAACCAUCUAAUCCGACAUAGGCUCAUCCGAUAGCGCGAGGCCCGAAGGUCCCCCGCUUUCCCCCGGUAUGGCGUAUGCGGUAUUAGCCUGGGGUUUCCCCCAGGGUUAUCCCCCGACUACCGGGGCAGAUUCCUAUGCAUUACUCACCCGUCCGCCGCUCGCCACCAGGGAGCAAGCUCCCCGUGCUGCCGCUCGACUUGCAUGUGUAGCGCGCCGCCGACGCGUCAUACUGAGCANANANACAACUACUNACGAGNGGCGGCGCGACGACGCGCA
rnacentral:rRNA from 1 species